AGUGAACGCUGGCGGUAGGCCUAACACAUGCAAGUCGAACGGCAGCACAGUAAGAGCUUGCUCUUACGGGUGGCGAGUGGCGGACGGGUGAGGAAUACAUCGGAAUCUACUUUUUCGUGGGGGAUAACGUAGGGAAACUUACGCUAAUACCGCAUACGACCUACGGGUGAAGGCAGGGGAUCUUCGGACCUUGCGCGAUUGAAUGAGCCGAUGUCGGAUUAGCUAGUUGGCGGGGUAAAGGCCCACCAAGGCGACGAUCCGUAGCUGGUCUGAGAGGAUGAUCAGCCACACUGGAACUGAGACACGGUCCAGACUCCUACGGGAGGCAGCAGUGGGGAAUAUUGGACAAUGGGCGAAAGCUUGAUGGAGCCAUGCCGCGUGAGUGAAGAAGGCCUUCGGAUUGUAAAGCUCUGUUGUUAGGGAAGAAAAGCAGUAGGUGUAUAUCUGGCCGUUUUGACGGUACCCAAUGAGAAAGCAACGGCUAACUUCGUG
rnacentral:rRNA from 1 species